GCCAGGAGUGCAAGUACCGAGAGGUAUUGAGCUGACUGGUGCUCAUCAGUCGAGGUCUUGAUCGCC
rnacentral:rRNA from 1 species